rnacentral:rRNA from 1 species
GAUGAACGCUGGCGGCGUGCCUAAUACAUGCAAGUCGAGCGAACAGACGAGGAGCUUGCUCCUCCGACGUUAGCGGCGGACGGGUGAGUAACACGUGGAUAACCUACCUAUAAGACUGGUAUAACUUCGGGAAACCGGAGCUAAUACCGGAUAAUAUAUUGAACCGCAUGGUUCAAUAGUGAAAGACGGUUUUGCUGUCACUUAUAGAUGGAUCCGCGCCGCAUUAGCUAGUUGGUAAGGUAACGGCUUACCAAGGCGACGAUGCGUAGCCGACCUGAGAGGGUGAUCGGCCACACUGGAACUGAGACGCGGUCCAGACUCCUACGGGAGGCAGCAGUAGGGAAUCUUACGCAAUGGGCGAAAGCCUGACGGAGCAACGCCGCGUGAGUGAUGAAGGUCUUCGGAUCGUAAAACUCUGUUAUUAGGGAAGAACAAAUGUGUAAGUAACUAUGCACGUCUUGACGGUACCUAAUCAGAAAGCCACGGCUAACUACGUG